rnacentral:rRNA from 1 species
GGGAGUGGCGCAAGGGUGCGUAACACGUGGGCAAUCUGCCGCAAAGACUGGGAUAACUUGCUGAAAGGCGAGCUAAUACCGGAUGUGAAUAUUGGGAGGCAUCUUUUGAUAUUCAAAGCUGGGGACCGAAAGGCCUGGCGCUUUGCGAUGAACCCGCGGCCUAUCAGCUAGUUGGUGAGGUAACGGCUCACCAAGGCUAAGACGGGUAGCUGGUCUGAGAGGACGACCAGCCACACUGGAACUGAGACACGGUCCAGACACCUACGGGUGGCAGCAGUCGAGAAUUUUUCACAAUGGGCGAAAGCCUGAUGGAGCGACGCCGCGUGGGGGAUGAAGGGCUUCGGUCCGUAAACCCCUGUCAUUUGCGAACAAACCUUAUUCAUUAACACUGAAUGAGCUGAUUGUAGCGGAAGAGGAAGGGACGGCUAAC